UGGGGAAUAUUGCGCAAUGGGCGAAAGCCUGACGCAGCAACACCGCGUGAGGGAUGACGGCCUUCGGGUUGUAAACCUCUUUCAGCUCCGACGAAGCGAAAGUGACGGUAGGAGCAGAAGAAGCACCGGCUAACUACGUGCCAGCAGCCGCGGUAAUACGUAGGGUGCAAGCGUUGUCCGGAAUUAUUGGGCGUAAAGAGCUCGUAGGCGGUCCGUUGCGUCUGCCGUGAAAACCCGGAGCUCAACUCCGGGCCUGCGGUGGAUACGGGCGGACUAGAGUCCGGUAGGGGAGACUGGAAUUCCUGGUGUAGCGGUGGAAUGCGCAGAUAUCAGGAGGAACACCGGUGGCGAAGGCGGGUCUCUGGGCCGGAACUGACGCUGAGGAGCGAAAGCGUGGGGAGCGAACAGGAUUAGAUACCCUGGUAGUCCACACCGUAAACGAUGAAUGCCAGUCGUCGGGUAGCAUGCUAUUCGGUGACACACCUAACGGAUUAAGCAUUCCGCCU
rnacentral:rRNA from 1 species